GACGAACGCUGGCGGCAUGCCUAAUACAUGCAAGUCGAGCGAACAGAUGAAGUGCUUGCACUUCUGACGUUAGCGGCGAACGGGUGAGUAACACGUAAGGAAUCUACCUAUAAGCGGGGGAUAACAUUCGGAAACGGGUGUUAAUACCGCAUAAUAUCUUCUUCCGCAUGGAAGGAGAUUGAAAGACGGCUCUGCUGUCACUUAUAGAUGACCUUGCGGUGCAUUAGUUAGUUGGUGGGGUAACGGCUUACCAAGACGAUGAUGCAUAGCCGACAUGAGAGGGUGAUCGGCCACAUUGGGUCUGAGACAGGGCCCACACUCCUACGGGAGGCAGCAGUAGGGAAUCUUCCGCAAUGGGCGAGAGACUGACGGAGCAAUGCCGCGUGAGUGAAGAAGGCCCUCGGGUCGUAAAACUCUGUUAUAAGAGAAGAACAAAUUGUAGAGUAACUGCUACAGUCUUGACGGUAUCUUAUCAGAAAGCCACGGCUAACUACGUGCCAGCCGCCGCCGUAA
rnacentral:rRNA from 1 species